rnacentral:tRNA from 1 species
AAAAAAUUAGUUAAAGUAUAACAUUAGUUUGUCAAACUAAAAUUAUUGAUUUAUUAAUAUUUUUUA